AUUGAACGCUGGCGGCAGGCCUAACACAUGCAAGUCGAACGAGUGGCGGACGGGUGAGUAAUGUCUGGGAAACUGCCUUAUGGAGGGGGAUAACUACUGGAAACGGUAGCUAAUACCGCAUACCAUCAGAUGUGCCCAGAUGGGAUUAGCUUGUGGGUGGGGUAACGGAUCACCUAGGCGACGAUCCCUAGCUGGUCUGAGAGGAUGACAAGCCACACUGGAACUGAUACACGGUCCAGACUCCUACGGGAGGCAGCAGUGGGGAAUAUGGCACAAUGGGAGGAAGCCUGAUGCAGCCAUGCCGCGUGUAUUAAGAAGGCCUUCGGGUUGUAAAGUACUUUCAGCGGGGAGGCGUUACCAGCAGAAGAAGCACCGGCUAACUCCGUGCCAGCAGCCGCGGUAAUAC
rnacentral:rRNA from 1 species